rnacentral:rRNA from 2 species
UCCUGCUUUGCAGGAGGGAUUAGUGGCGCACGGGUGAGUAAUAUAUAGAUAACGUGCCUCUUAGUCUGGGAUAGCCAUUGGAAACGAUGAUUAAUACUAGAUACUCCUUCUGAUUCUAAUAUCAGUCGGGAAAGUUUUUCGCUAAGAGAUCGGUCUAUAUCCCAUCAGCUUGUUGGUAGUGUAAGAGACUACCAAGGCUAUGACGGGUAGCGGGUUUGAGAGGAUGAUCCGCCACACUGGUACUGAGACACGGACCAGACUCC